rnacentral:rRNA from 1 species
AACGCUAGCUACAGGCUUAACACAUGCAAGUCGAGGGGCAGCACAGUGUAGCAAUACACGGGUGGCGACCGGCGCACGGGUGCGUAACGCGUAUCCAACCUUCCCGUUACUCAGGGAUAGCCUUCCGAAAGGGAGAUUAAUACCUGAUGGUGUUGAAAUUCCGCAUGUUAUUUCAACUAAAGAUUUAUCGGUAACGGAUGGGGAUGCGUGACAUUAGGUAGAUGGCGGGGUAACGGCCCACCAUGCCUACGAUGUCUAGGGGUUCUGAGAGGAAGGUCCCCCACACUGGAACUGAGACACGGUCCAGACUCCUACGGGAGGCAGCAGUGAGGAAUAUUGGUCAAUGGGCGGAAGCCUGAACCAGCCAAGUAGCGUGAAGGAUUACAGCCCUACGGGUUUUAAACUUCUUUUAUAUAAGAGUAAUGUGCACUACGUGUAGUGUAUUGCAAGUAUUAUAUGAAUAGGCAUCGGCUAACUCCGUGCCAGCAGCCGCGGUAAUACGGAGGAUGCGAGCGUUAUCCGGAUUUAUUGGGUUUAAAGGGAGCGUAGGCGGGUUAUUAAGUCAGUCGUCAAAGCCUGUGGCUCAACCACAGCCCGCGAUUGAUACUGGUAACCUUGAGUGCGGAUGAGGUGGAUGGAAUUCGUGGUGUAGCGGUGAAAUGCUUAGAUAUCACGAAGAACUCCGAUUG